UAAAAAUUUAAUUUUUGUUUUAAAAAUUAAUUAAAUUUUAUUAAUAAUAUAUAAUUUUAAUUUAAAUAAUAAAAUUUAUAAGUAAUAUUUAAAAUUUAUUAAAUUAAUGAAAGUUAGAAUAAGAUAAAAAUGAUAAUUAUAGGAUAAUUUAGUGCCAGCAUCAGCGGUUAGACUAAGUAUAUAAAUUAAUUUAAACUUUAUUUAAUUAUAAGAUUAAUUUUUUAGUUUUUAUAUAUAAUAAUAAUAUGGUGAAAUGUUAUUAUUUAAAAUAAAAAUUUUUUAUUUAUUUUAUAUUAGAAAAUUUUUUUAAAAGACUAGGAUUAGAUACCCUAUUAUGUAAAACUAAUAAUAAUAAUAGAAGAGAUUAAAUGUUAUACCAUUAAAUUUAAAAGAUUUGGCGGUACUUUUUAUUUAGAGGAACCUGUGUAGUAAUUGAUGUACCACGAUAAGAAAUACUUAAAGUUUAGCUUAUGUAUUGCUGUUUUCAGUACUUAAUUAAUUUAGGUUUAUACAAUUUAGUAAAGUUAAGAAAUUCAAGUCAAAAUAUAGUUUUUUUAAGAUUAACAUGGGUUACAUUAGAUUAGAUUUAAAUAGUUGAAUUAAAAAUUUUAAUUUUUUUAUGAAAAUGGAUUUAAAAGUAAAAUUAAUAAAUUAAUUAAUUUGAAUUAAAAAGUUAAGUACGUACAAAUUGCCCGUCACUUUCAAUAAAAUGGAAUAAGUCGUAACAAAGUUUAGGUACCGGAAGGUGCUUAUUGUUAGUA
rnacentral:ncRNA from 1 species